rnacentral:lncRNA from 1 species
AGCCGGCUGUUAACUAGCAGCGGGCGCGGCCGGUGACUAAGGGCCCCUCGGCGUCUCACCUGGUGUUCGAGGAGUUUCCUGCGCUCACGUGUGGUGGCUCACGUGGCGUGGAAACCGCGUGAAAGCCGCCCCGGGCAAGAGCAUAUAAGACCCCCCCGCCCACGGUGGGGGGAGAGAAGAAAGCGCGCUCCUCACUUGUCCCCGGCUCCAGUGAGGAAGAAAAUAGCGGCUUUACAAACAAAGGUAAAGGACCAGAGAACUUUCUUCUAAGGUUUUAAGAAAGCCAGACUGCUACGCCCUGUAAGCUGUGCUGACCCGGGCGUGGAAAGGCAGCUGGGGGGAAGCGCCGUGUCCUCCCGACUCCCUCCUUGCGAAUCCUGCGGAGAGGAGCCCGGGGUGGCGGGAAAGCACGGCGUGGGCGCUGGAGGGCGAAAGGCGACCAGAGGCCUGCCCUGGCCUUCAGAAGUGACCUGACGCCGGGAAGGAAGCUUAUUAACCCCUGGGCUCCUCCGCCCUCUCCCCGGGGUGUGAGCCGGCUCCUCCUCCUCCCGGGCGAGCUAGCCUGGGGCAAGAUGCACACAGCCUCCGGCUUCGCGCGCCCUGCCCGUCCCUCCCAGCCCAGGAAGACGCGAGAGGGGAGGGCGCAGCCCAAAGCCAAGCCCGGCGAGUCCGUGGAUCCCCAGUGAACAUCCCGAGCGAGACCGCGGGGACCCCGCAACCGCCGCGCCGCCCUAGCACCGCAGGCGACCCGUCUCCCUGCUCCUCCGCCGCAUCUGCACCGACACCCGACUCCAGGUCUGACCCCUCAGCUCCACGACACCCCCAGCCCCGGUGCAUCGCGCAGGUGGCGCAGACGCCCCUGCCCUCCGGCGCCCCCUGCCGGGGAGAGGGAAGGCUGCGGCCGCGGAGAAGCCGAGCACAGGCGGGGAGAGAGCUCCAGCACCGGGAAGAAGCCGGGAGCUUCCCUGAUGGUGCCGCCGCCUCCGAGUCGGGGAGCAGCGGCGAGGGGGCAGCUGGGCAGGAGCCUGGGUCCGCUGCUGCUGCUCCUGGCGCUGGGACACACGUGGAGUUACCGAGAGGAGCCCGAGGACGGCGACAGAGAGAUCUGCUCAGAAAACAAGAUCGCCACGACGAAAUACCCGUGCCUGAAGCCUUCGGGUGAGCUCACCACGUGUUUCAGGUAAGCCUCCGGGCUCUGCCGAG